rnacentral:rRNA from 1 species
UACAGAGGAGCCAAGCGUUGUCCGGAUUGACUGGGCGUAAAGCGCACGCAGGCGGUGGUGCGCGUGGGGUGUGAAAAUCUGGCCGCUUAACGGCCAGGCGCCAUCCCAUACGGCACGACUGGAGGGCUGCAGAGGUCGAUGGAAUUGCCGGUGUAGUGGUGAAAUGCGUAGAGAUCGGCAGGAACACCCAGGGGGGAAACCAGUCGACUGGGCAGCACCUGACGCUGAGGUGCGAGAGCGUGGGGGAGCGAACCG